rnacentral:miRNA from 1 species
CCGCCCGGCCCCGCCCGCACCG